rnacentral:lncRNA from 1 species
GUGGCCCGGGGGGCUAUAGCGCAUGUCCUCGGGGGCCGCAAAGAAGGGGCCGUAACUCAUGAUCCGGGCCUCCGAUUCCGUUUCCGUCGGGUCCCACGGGACCAGGGUUCCGGGGGCAUCGGGAUGGGGGGGUAGCCGCGCGGCGGUUUGAACGCCGAAAAAUGGGCAUGUUCGGGGUGCGCUCAGUAGGUUUAGACGGUUUUGGGCGUAUCUCAUGAUCCGAGCAUCCGAUUCCGUUUCCGUCAGGUCCCACGGGACCAGGGGUCCGGGGGCAUCGGGAUGGGGGGGUAGCCGUGCGGCGGUUUGAACGCCGAAAAAUGGGCAUGAUCGGGGCGGUUUAGCCGGUUUGGCCGGUUUCGGCCCGCCGGGGGGCGGUUCAUGCCCCGGGGGGGACCGCGGGCCGGGAUCAGGAGGCGGCGGACGCGUUCGGUGGGGUUCGGGCGGGUGCGGCCGGAUGGGGGGUGGCCCGGGGGGCUAUAGCGCACGUCCUCGGGGGCCGCAAAGAAGGGGCCGUAACUCAUGAUCCGGGCCUCCGAUUCCGUUUCCGUCGGGUCCCGCGAGACCAAGGUUCCGGGGGCAUCGUGAUGGGUGGGUAGCCGCGCGGCGGUUUGAACGCCGAAAAAUGGGCAUGUUCGGGGUGCGCUCAGUAGGUUUAGACGGUUUUGGG